UUACAACAUGCUCCUUUAGCUCAGUGAAGUUCAUUAUUACCCAUCUUCUGAAAUCUACUUCUGCCAAUUAAGCCACCUCAGCCUCUACCCAGUUCUAUGCCCUUGCUGGAGAGGGAUUGUGGUCAUUUGGAGGAGAAGAGGCACUCUUGAUUUCUGAGUUUUCAGCAUUUUUGCAUUGAUUCUUUCUCAUCUUUGUGGGCUUAUCUACCUUCAGUUUUUGAGGACUACUUUGGUUUUCUGGGGGUCCACUUCAGACCCUAGUUGCCUUGGUUUUUCCCAUACCUGGAGAUGUCACCAGUGAAGCCUGGGAAACAGCAAAGAGGGCAGCCUGAUCGUUCAUCUGGAAACUUUGUUCCAGAGAAGCCUGAAGUGCUCUGAAGGCUGCCAACAAAAUGUCAAGUGAGUCCACUGACAAAAAGGAAGAGAAACCUUGGAAAAACAUUAUUGCUUAUGUUCCAUCUGAAUCUGAGCAGCUGACCUGAGGAAGGAGGUAAGAAGAAAUGAAGGAAUGAAAUACUGAGAAAGAUUCCUGGAAAUGGAAUUACUGGGUCAAAGGCUGGAGGUAUUUUUAAGACUCUUGAUACAUAUUAUCAAUGUUUUUUUCUGCAAAGGUUACGCCUAUUUAUACUCCUACUCACAGAGGUUAAGAGAGCUUAUGCAUGGCACCCUUGCCACACUGAGUAAUAAAAAAUAAAUAAAAAUCCUGUUACUAUAAAAGGGACACAUUUUAUCUCAUUUUAAUAUGGGUCACAAAAGAUGGCAAGAUUUAUAUUCUCCAACAUCAACAGGGAGAGCAUUGUUGGUGUGAAGAACAGCCUCAGCCAAGAGUCAAAGGUAGGAAUGCUUGGGAGCUGCCCCAGUGAGCUCCUAAUUGGGCGUCUAAACAAUCUUUUAGCUCAUACAAAGCUUAUGCCUGCAGAGUUUUUCCACCAAGUAAUCUGUGACAGCAGCUAAAGGAAAUGCCUAAUUAGGGUUUUAUAAAUGUGGAUCUAUGAUCAGGAAGAGACCUACAUUGACCCUCUGCUAGAACUGCAGGGACAAACUGUAAUUGAAAAAUGAUCAAGCCAGGAGGCAGCUAAAAUAAAUGUGUCAAUGCAUAGUUCAACCAAGAAAGAAGAAAAUUCAGCAAAGUGACCUUUCCUUGGGGGAGAGAAGAACUUCAAUUCCCGACUGUUCAUGAAUCACUGGUGUAUCCAGCCGCACCAAGUAUGUCCAAGCUCCAAGAAUGUCUGACACCAUCCCCCAGAAUGAUGCCUGAGGCCUUGCCUAGUCCAAAGACACAUGAAUCUCUGGACACCUGCAGAUGUACUCCCACGGCAGGCAGCUGCAGCAUAGCUGCAGCACACUUCAAUUUGGACUAGCCACAUUUCAAGUGCUUGACAGUCACAGGUGACUAAUGGCUCUCCUAUGGGUUAUAGCCCAGCUCUUGACUCUUUGAUCCACAAGGAUAAGAACCACAUCCACUUCCACAUCUCCAGGUAUGAGGCAGAUAAAUAGCAGAGAGUGAUUACACAAAACUCUUCUCACCACGGAUUCCGGCAUUUGUGGGCAGCUGCAGAAGAGUAGGUGGGAGGAUCUCCCAGAUUAUGAGGCCAGUUUUUCUGUGGCUCAGAGACUGCCAGUGACUCGCUCAAGAUAAAACAGCUUGUUAGUGGCAGGGAUGGAGCCCAGAAAUCCUGUUUCCUGUCCUCAGGAGUGUGUGUUCGAAAGAAGUUCUUGGCAAAGGUGAGAAUAAAUCAUAGGCUCUUUGAAGAGGACUCCAGUGUAUUAAACAAAUAGGUUGCUGAGAUGCAGUUAACUACUCAGUAAUGUAGUUGAAGAAAAUUAAUUUUUCAUUCUGCCACUCAGAAUAUCGAGGCUGGCCAUCUGUAAACACAGCCUGUCUCUAGGAGAACAGAGGUGGAAUCCUCCUUGCAAGUUUAAAAAAAUAACAGAGUAAUCUCAGUGGAUGUCUUAAGAGAAACAUAAUUAUAAUUUAGUUGACAUAUCUCAUAUCUCAGUGAUGGUAAAUAAACCUUCCCUAAAUAAUUCAAUUAUAAAUGUUGCUCCUUUGGAGAAGUGAACUGAACUGGUCUUGAAUGGAAUUGGGUAAGUGUUUCCACAUACAAAAAAACAGCACGUGCUGGCGAGAAAGCAUGUCCCACAUCUCAGAGCUCACUGGGGACUGCCUCAGCUACUGGCUCUGUAAACCAGCAGCUCUAUGGUAACGGGACUCUCCUUCAACCACAUGGCUGCCUGUGUGUGUAUCUGAUUGCUCUGUGGGGGAGUGGCAGAGAAGAACAAUGUGCAUUUAUAAUGGAGCCCCAGUACAGACCUUUCACCACAGGGACUUCCCAGACCAAUCUUGUUCUGGUGGAAUUCAGAGCCACUGAAUGAAAUUAAAGGCCAUCAGUGGGGUCAUGCCAUGAACAUCACAUCAUUGCUCUAGAAAAGACAAACCCAUUCCAGCCACAUCUGGACCACCUGCUCCCCUUGUAGAAUGAUUUCUGCAGAAGGGCCAAUUUGCAUUUCACAGGGACCUCGAGAGAAGGCUUGUCAACAGGUUGUCUCAGCUUGGAAUUCCACAGCAAAAAAAAAAGAUACUUUCUUUGAACUACGAGUCAGUCUGUUAAGUUUGGGGGAAUUUGUAGAAAUAUUUGAAGAACAGUUGCAGUUUUAAAUCCAUUAGGAUAUCUAAGAUCUUAAGCACAGGCUGUUACGGAUAUUUGCCAAGCGGAAUUUUCACUUGAGUUUUGGUCUCAUAUAAAGCUCUGGAAACUGAUUGAAAUCCAGUAAUACUCUUUCCCCUCCCCCAAAAAAUCAAAACAAAACAAAUGCCACAAACACAAAAGCGUUCCUCCUACCACCUUUCUCUGGCUCUGGAGAGAAGGUGGAAUAGUCCUUAUACUUUCAUGCUAGGUUCUGAUUAAUCACCUAGGAUAGACUUUGUGAGUGCCAAUUACAGGCAAAGCAUGUGCUGGUUCCAAGCUUUGGUGUGACUGUGGAUGUAAGAAAAUGUGAAUAUAAAUGGCCUCCCUUGUUUACUGAGAUCAGUGUGGCUCAUUCUUCCUGAUGACUUCCAUCCAACCUGCACUGUUCAGGAACCAGAUUAUACAGUCUUAGAACAAGACUGGGAAGGCCUCAGAGUCCAGGACUCUGUUUUGGUCUUCUCUUGUUCCCCACUAUGGCUCUCAAAUACAGGGCUAGGGGCAUAAAAAUGCAGAGUGUUCACUGCAUUUGAUACCAUUACUCACUAUGACAGAAAAAGCAGUGGCCAGAAUAGUGGAGCACCACCUUUUUUUUUUUGGCAUGAGAAAAAUAUUCCUUGAAUCGUAUAUAAUAUUAGUAAUUUGUAAGAUGUUCUAUGUGUUCAGAAAGUGCUAUUUUUCAAGAAGGACCCCUUGUUAAUGACAAUAAAGGCUCUCAUGAAAAGGUCCAUAAACCUCAUUCAUUCAUUCAUCUGUUAACUAAAUAUGCAUGGAGCCUGCCAUGUAUCAGGCGCCCUGCUCCACACAGAGAAAGCUAAGAGCUGGAGCCUCAGAACUGCCUGGCAAAGCCUUGUAGGCUCCCUCUCUAGUGAUCUGGCAGAAGUGGAUGAGGUGCUCAGACUGAAGACUAUUUUAGAGGGCAUUGAUUCUUAUGCCUGAGAUUCUAAGGGAUUUUGUGGCUUUAUCUGCUAAGGGGAGGGCAGUUUUGAGAAGAGAAAGGGGAGGCUGAAGAUGGCAGGCUCUCAAAGGUCCUCAUCACCUGUAACUGUCUUUCCUGCAGUUCUUCCUAAGGAGCCCCCUUGGAAGGAGACCCCACCACUAUGCCACAUACUGUGGGUCCUAGGUCCUCAUGUGAGGGUAAACUUCUACUUAUAAACCAGGGGCUAUAGCCGAAUCAAGAAAAAUUCUUUUUUCUGCUGUCUUUAACUGUUGGAUAAUAAUUUUGUUCCUUUUAAGAAAUUUUCUUAAAAAGUUGAAUUUCUAACAACAUCCUGGAGAGCUGGCUCAUUAAGAGCAUUCCUAUUGUGUUGUCAGGAUAAUGGCCCCCUUAUAGGUUCAUGUCCUAAUCUCUGAAACCUGUGAAUAUGUUACAGUCAUGCAUCGCUUAGCAACAAGGACACAUUCUAAGAAAUGCGUCCUUCGGUUAUUUCUUCAUUGUCGAACAUCAUAGAGUGCACUCACACAAACCUAGACGGCAUAGCCCACUACACACCUAGGCUCUAUGGUACAGCCUAUUGCUCCUAGGCUAUGGACCUGUACAGGAUGUUACUGUACCAAAUACUGUAGGCAGAUGUAACAUGAUGGUAAGUAUGUGUUUAUUUAGACACAAGUAAAUAUAAAAAAUGUAAAAUGGUGAUGCAGUAUUAUAAUCUCAUGGGACUACCUUCCUAUAUGCAGUCUAUCAUUGACUGAAAUGUGAUUAUGUGGCACAUGACUGUACUUAAACAGCAAAAAGGACUUUUCAGAAGUGAUUAAAUGAAGAAUCUUGAGAUGGGGAGAGUAUCCUGGACCAUUUAGGUGGGUCCAAUGCUACACAAAGGUCCUCACAAUUAAAGAGGGAGGCAGGAGAGCCAGACAUGAUGUGAUGAAUGAAGAAGAGGUUGAAUAAUGCAGUGGCUGACCUUAAAGAUGAAAGGGGCUAUAAGCCAUGGCGUGUUGUAAACUGUAAAGUAGAAGGAAACAGAAGCUCUUCUAGGGCCUCCAGAAGGAGCACAGCCUUCCCAAUACUUUGAUUGAUUUUAGCCCCGGAGACCCAUUUCAGACAUCUGACCUCCAAGAUUGUAAGAUAAUAAACUUAUGUUGAAGUCACUACAUAUGUGGUAUAUUAUAUGGUUGCAAUAGGAAACCAACACACUCAUCUUGCUCAACACACAAUCCUUGCUUCUCUACACAAACUGAUUUCCUCAAUGUUCCCCUUUUAUACUAGACUUUGUGUACGCCACUUCUGCUCUGCUGUCUCAUCUCCUUCUUCCACUUCUCCCGACCAAUCAGCUUUCCAAGGCCAGCUCCACACUCCACUGCACCCCAUCCCCUGCCCUGAAAUUCUUCAUAGAUGCCAGGCACAAUGUGCUCUGAUUUCUGAUUCUCUCAGUAUUUUGAAGAGUGUUUAUCAAUAUGUGUAAUUCACGAUUACUUUAGACAAACAAACAAAAAGCUCAUCUUCCAAAAGGUGUUUAAAAGUGCUGGGCUGACCACACACAGGAUAACCAAAGACCACCUCUGCUUGGUGGCUUCUGCAUGCCUAAGACUCCCCAAGCUGUUUAAUAAGGGCUCAAUUCCUGAUUGCCUUCACAGUGAACUGUGGGGUACAGGGGUCAGUAGCUGCCCUCUGUCCACCCUGUAUGCAAACAGGCCUGCAUCCUUCACUGCUCAGCCCCACAAGCCUGUGUUCAUUUGCUACAAUUUGCUCCAUUUAGAGGUGUAGAAUUAGUUGACUUUCAGGUCAGACAGUGCUGAGCCUGAAAGAUGUGCCCUUCUGAGUCUCUGAGACAUCUCCCUGGGGAAAGGCCCACUUGGGAGAAGGUUCCCUUUUUUUUAUUUUACCCUUCACCCACCACCACCAUAAGCACAGCCUGCUUUCAUACAUUUUGUGCCAUACCCUGGGCUAAGAUCUUUGCAUUGCCUAUUCUCCCAAUAAUUCUUGGAGGUAUUACUAUUAUUUUCUCCAUUUUACAAAUAGACUGAAGCUCAGAGAGGUGGAAUAACAUGUCCAAGGUCACACAAUGAGUUUGUGUCUACAGCCUUGCUGUUUGAACUGUGGGCCAUGAACCAGCAGCACAGGCAUCCCUUGGGAGCUGGUUAGAAAUGUAGAAUCAUAGACUCCACCCCAGGCCUUCUGAAUCUGAAUCUUAACAAGUUCUCCAGGCAAUUAACAUGCACAUUAAAGUUUGAGAAGUUCUGCUCUAAACCACUAAGCAGUACUAUCACUCAAGAAAGAAAAAGAAAAACAAUCAUUUAUUGGAUGAG
rnacentral:lncRNA from 10 species